UGGAAGGAACUAUGCAAGAUCCCUGGG
rnacentral:piRNA from 1 species